AACGAACGCUGGCGGCAUGCCUAACACAUGCAAGUCGAACGAGACCUUCGGGUCUUGUGGCGUAUGGCUGCGUAACGCGUGGGAACCUGCCCUUAGGUUCGGAAUACCUCCCCGAAAGGGGUGCUAAUACCGGAUAAUGUCUUCGGACCAAAGAUUUAUUGCCUUUGGAUGGGCCCGCGUUGGAUUAGCUAGUUGGUAGGGUAAAAGCAUACCAAGGCGACGAUGCAUAGCUGGUCUGAGAGGAUGAUCAGCCACACUGGGACUGAGACACGGCCCAGACUCCUACGGGAGGCAGCAGUGGGGAAUAUUGGACAGUGGGCGAAAGCAUGAUCCAGCAAUGCCGCGUGAGUGAUGAAGGCCGUGGGGUUGUAAAGCUCUUUUACCCGGGAUGAUAAUGACAGUACCGGGAGAAUAAGCUCCGGCUAACUCCGUG
rnacentral:rRNA from 1 species